CACUCAACGGAGGAGCAUCUGAUAUGAUUAAACAUACAUGGGCAAGGAGCAGGCCAAGAUAACCAGAAGCGACAUGAAAGAUGAGAGUCCACUUUUAAUGUGUGCCUGGAGGACACCCGAUUGCCCGGGAAAGUCUUGUUUUCCCUGUGCUUGUCACGCGAGUCCUUUUUACUCCUGCCUCCACCGCCCUCGGUGUCUUACCGCAACUCUGACCCGAAUCUCUCUCUUUUGACAAGGUGAUUUGACAGUGACUUGUCUGGCCUCAUGGGAGUUUAUCAUACAAACUGGAGUAGAACGUAGUACAAAUAUGAUAGGAAAGAGAAUGAAAAGGAUGAUCCUGAGCAGUCUGUGACAGCAGGUGUCAAAAGAUAUGAUGCUGCAGAUUAAAAGGUUGGCUUGUUAUUAUGACAUGAGUUGCCCAUGGUCAAAGGAUGUGUAACCCAGCUUUCCUGUAUCAAAAGCCCAACAACACACAUGGAUGUGAUCACGACACCAUCUGGAUAGACCUAUAUCCAUAAAUGGCUGGGAAUCAUAAGGAGGAUCUGUUCAUUGUUAACAGUGUCUCAGUGUCCUCACUGUUAAACGAGUCACCCUGACACACUCAUCUGGAGUCCAUUGAGAAUACACAUAAUUUGCAAGAAAGUGCAAUAAGCCGAUGUCAUGUCUAACUCUGCUGUUAAUCCAUUAUGGCUCAAGGCCCAGAGAGCUACAGUAUACUGUUGGCACGGAACUAUAGCUAGAUCUCAGAGACCAGUAGAGGUCCCAGUAGUGAGAAUGAAAAAAUAAUGUAAUUCUUUAGCCAGAAGAGGGCAGCAAUGUAGCCUCUACUACCAUUUUGCAUAGAGCAUGUCUUUAUGGUGGCCACAAACUCUAUCUAGUCCUCAGUUGUGUAAACUACUUAAGUAAAAAAAACAUUUUUUUUUAAAGUACUACUUAAGUAGUUUUUUGGGGGUAUCUGUACUUUAGUUUGCUAUUUAUAUUUUUUGCCAACUUUUGCUCCGCUACAUUAAAGAAAAUAAUGUACUUUUUACUCAAUACAUUUUCCCUGACACUCAAAAGUACUCGUUACAUUUUGACACGAAAAUGGUCCAAUUCGCACACUUAUGAAGAGAUCAUCCCUGGUCAUCCCUAAUGCCUCUGAUCUGACGAACUCACUAAACAUAAAUGCUUCGUUUGUAAAUUAUGUCUGAGUGUUGGAGUGGGCUCCUGCUUAUCUGUCAAUAAAAAAAUAAAAUCGUG
rnacentral:lncRNA from 1 species